AAAGGAAUUGACGGGGACCCGCACAAGCGGUGGAGCAUGUGGUUUAAUUCGACGCAACGCGAAGAACCUUACCAGGCCUUGACAUCCUGUUGACCAUCCGGGUAACGCCGGACUCCCUUCGGGGCAACAGAGACAGGUGGUGCAUGGUUGUCGUCAGCUCGUGUCGUGAGAUGUUGGGUUAAGUCCCGCAACGAGCGCAACCCUUAUCUUUAGUAGCCAGCGGUUCGGCCGGGCACUCUAGAGAGACUGCCAGGGAUAACCUGGAGGAAGGCGGGGACGACGUCAAAUCAUCAUGCCCCUUACGGUCUGGGCUACACACGUGCUACAAUGGUGACUACAAAGAGACGCGAAGGAGCGAUCCGGAGCAAAUCCCAAAAAGGUCACCCCAGUUCGGAUUGUAGUCUGCAACUCGACUGCAUGAAGCUGGAAUCGCUAGUAAUCGCGAAUCAGAAUGUCGCGGUGAAUACGUUCCCGGGUCUUGUACACACCGCCCGU
rnacentral:rRNA from 1 species